ACACCAUGUCCGCUCUCCUCACCGAGCCGCACUCAACACCCUCCCAUCUCCCAUCUGCUCCUCUCGCCCUUGCCAUUCCAUCACUCUACGCCCCCGAUGCCUCGCUGAUUCUAGACUGGACACGGAUCUGAUCUGGCCACUCGGAGCUCGUCCACCACCACAGAAACUAGCAAGACGUGCAACUCAUUGAGAUUCAUCUUGAUUCCGUGGUGUGUGCAUCUAUGGCGUUCUAAUGGAAAUUUCGGUGUGAUUUCAGGACCCAUCCCUCUCGACCCAGGCGGCGCGCAUCUUGUCCCACGCUGCUCUCGCUUCCACCUCCUUCGCAAGUGAAGCGCCUCCUCCAGCCGAGGAGGAGCACAACGACUGGGUCAUCGCAGAUCGCCUCUGCCCACUCCCGUGAUGGGACGGCCACUAAGGUAUCGACCAUGCCUCCUCCGACAAGAACGAUCACAAAUUGAUUUGACUCCAAAGAUUUCUGAUGUGUACCUUCUGUCCGGUUCCUCUUCCUCUAGCUCUUCUGAGUGUAGGGCAGAGUUGAGUGUAGGGCAGAGUUCUGCAUGGACGGGUACCUGCAACGGCCAGGGUCAACAAUGAUGCAGAGUUCUGCAUGGACAAGUACCUGCAACGGCCAGGGUCAACAAUGAUGCAGAUCAAAUGUUCAACUACAGCCCCAUCUAGCCAAAGUCAGAUGUCGGUUCCAAGAAGGGGCUCUGUAGGUUGCAAGAGCUUCUGGUGAUGCAACAACAAGAAUCGACCUGGAGGUCUAGCCGUCUGGAAGUUAACGACUGAUAUUGUCCUGCUUGGGUUCAUUCUGGGCUUGAUUUUGCUGUAUAUAUGUGAUUUAAGCCGUGGAAGUAUUGUAAUAGACUUAAUUGUUGCUGUUGUGAAAACAUGUUCAUGCAUUCUUCGGUUCUGAUUAUUUGUUAUUCAA